rnacentral:tRNA from 1 species
AGUGGUUAAGCAUUUGGCUGCUAACCAAAAGGUUGGGGUUUGAAUCCACCAGCCACUU